GACCGCGUAGCUCGGUUGGAAGAGCAUUGGGCUGGUAUUCCAAAGGUCGUAGGUUCGAAUCCCACCGUGGCCG
rnacentral:tRNA from 1 species